UUAAGGAGAUAUGGCAACAAGACGGGCAGAGCGCUUGCGAGAAGUUGUUUGUCUAUAUAUAGCCCUUUUAUUUUAAAGAGUCACACGGUGAAUUAAAGAUCUACAUUUCAUUUCAAAAGUUUGGAAAGCUCUUUAAUUUGUCCUUUAUCUCAGUGCAUGCGCAUAAAGCUUGCAGGACGAGUACUUCUAGCUAGCUCGUUCUUUUAUUCUCAGGAAGUUUCAGAAUAGCAACUUGAUAUAUAGAUGGCAGGACAAUCAGCAAGUUUUGAAAACAAUCAGGAACAUGGGGCUAAAAAGCUGUCCAAAGAAAUCGCAGGUAUGAUAAAAACUUAGAGACACUCCCAGCAUCAACAUCUAAACAUUGUUGUAUCUACAAGGUUUCAGAUCACAUUCGCAAAUCGAACGAAGAAGCUUAUACUCCUCAGGUAAUAUCAAUUGGGCCUUUCCAUCGUAAUAAUCCAAAAUUGCAAACCAUGAAAAGGUUUAAAUUGAAUUAUCUAAAGAGUUUCAAGGAAAGAGCUGAAAUAGAGUUGGAAGAUAUAGUAAGCACUAUAAAAGGUGCGGAAGAAAGUGUUUGGGAAAGUUAUUCGGAGACUAUAUCACUUGACAGUGAUGAUUUUGUGAAAAUGAUCCUGCUUGAUGCCAGCUUCAUUAUCGAGUAUUUCUGGAAAAACAAGACGCUAAACUGGACCGACAGUGACCAAGAAAUAUUAGAGCCGUGUUUGUGCAAUAGGAUGCAGAUGGACCUUCAUAUUACUUGAAAAUCAGCUUCCUUUCUUUAUUACUGCAGAAAAUAUAUGACAUUGCAUUUCCAUCUCGCUCAAAAAACAACCCCUUCAUUGGGCUUACCUUUCGCCAGUUCGAAUAUUACAACGUUCAAAUUUCCCAAUAUUCUCCGUCAACAAAAAUAUUGCACUUCACUGACUUGGUUAGAAACUUUUGCAUGCCUCCUAGCGAAAGGCGACCGAAAGGAGAGUCUCAAAAGAUGAAGGAAAUGUACAGUGCAACCCAGCUGGAUGAGGUAGGAUUGAAGUUUAAGAUGAGCAAACCAAGCUCUAAUCUCUCACCUCUUGAACUAAAAUAUGUGGAGGGAGUGCUGGAAGUCCCACGCUUUUAGUUAGACGAUACCACGGAGAUUUAUGCUCGAAACCUCAUUGCCUUGGAGAAAUAUCACUAUCCUUAUAAAGAUGAGGCAUAUAUUACUGAUUACUAUACCAUGUUAAGUUUCCUUAUCAAAACAGACAAAGAUUUGGAUGUACUUGUACGAGAGCAGAUCAUCGAUAAUUGGCUGGAUGGCGUCGUGGCAACUUCAAUGAUCAACAAGCUGUCCGGCGAAACACGUUUCUAUAUCAAAAUAAACUCUCAUUAUCACACGAUGGCUGAAGAGUUGAACAAAUUCUAUAUUAGUCCCUGGAAUCUCAUCCCUAGCUUGAAACGUGCUUUAUUUCGCACGAAUUUGGCCGGUACUAUUACCAUAUCUAGUGCUGUUGGGUUAAUCCUCACAGGGGUUGAAUCUGCAUGCUCUGUUCUAUCGCUUAAGUACUUUUAAGUUUUUUUUAUUUUUAUUUUUUUAAGUAUUUUAAAGCUUGUAUAAUUCUAAUUAAGCUUGUUUAUUUAAAGCUAGCCCCUUGGUGGCUCGUGCUAGUAGUACCCCGCAUGGGCUAGGGGCUUGCCUUGUAUGAAGAUUAGUCGGGGUGUAUUUGGUAAUAAAAUAUGAAUAUUUAUUUA